UGCGCUUGCAGAUCCCAUUCAUUAUUUAUUUAGAAGAGCAAUUGCAUAUUUCAAUACCGCGUCUCUCAUGUCAUGCUGGGGAUGACAACUUGGCUUAAGUGGUGUGAGGGAUAGGUUUGGCAUUUUUGGCACCGUUGCUAGAUUUAGAACUUAGUCUACUUUUGGUAAUGAUGUUAAGAAUACCCAACAAGCAUUUUUGGCGCCGUUGCCGGGGAAGGUUGAUUACCAAUCAGGAAUGGAAUAAAAGAUUUUGAGUUAUCAUUCGCAUCACUAAUAUGAUUGAGCUUAUCUAUUCUCUCAUACAGUUUUACCCCGAUAUUUUUCUAUUUUAUCUUAUGCAGGGGAAUGUAUGAAUAGAAGACAUCUUCCAGGAAAUUUUGUUGAUAAUCCUGAAGCAUUAUUCAAGAAGACGAGGGCCAAGCUAAAGAAAUCAUCAACACUUCACGAAGAAGCUUCAUCCAAUCAAGAAGAUCACCGGAACUUGUCUUCAGAGUUCGAAGCCAUGGCAAACAAAUCGAUCCGCGAGUUCUCAGCUCCCACUACGGACAACAUCCACACUGGACCUGCUGCAGAGAUCGAUGGCAACUUUGAGCUCAAGCCUGGACUUAUCAACAUGGUGCAAUCCAACCAGUUCUGUGGGAAGGCACACGAAGAUGCUAGUGCUCAUUUACAACACUUCCUGGAGAUUUGCAACACAUUCACCAUAGCAGGAGUUUCCAAAGACGCUAUACUACUUCGCCUCUUCCCAUUCUCACUGUUAGGAAGAGCGAAGCAGUGGUUCUACGCUACAAAGGAGAAGAAUACUACGUGGGCACUCUGCUCAACAAACUUCCUGGCAAAGUUCUUUCCCAUGGGCAAGACCAAUGCUCUCUGUGGGAAGAUUACAAGUUUUCAGCAACAAAAUGAUGAAUCUGUUCCAGAAGCAUGGGAGCGCUUUCAAGACUACAUCCUAGAAUGUCCCCAUCAUGGAAUGGAGAGUUGGCUAUUGAUGCAGACAUUCUAUCAUGGGCUCAGCAACAGUGCCCGAGAGACCAUGGAUGCUGCAGCUGGAGGAGCAUUCUUAUCACUUACUAUACCACAAGCCACAGCUCUUGUGGAGAAGAUGGCGUCCAAUCAAAGCUGGAAUGAAGAGAGGACCCAGACACGCAAGAGAGGUGGACGUAUGCAUCAGCUGAAGGAGGUAGACAUGCUGUCUGCAAAGCUAGACCUGCUCAUGAAGAAGCUCGAUGAUAAAGCUGGAGACAAGAAAGAAGUUAUGCACAUCUACGACUCUCACAUGACUUGUGAGGAGUGUGGAGACACUGGACACUCAGGCAACCACUGCCCUGAGAUGCUUGAGGAUGUGAACUACAUCAACAACAACAACUACUACAACCGUCCUCAACAAAAUCAAGGUUGGAAUCAACAGAGGCCUAACUACUCAGGUAAUUAUCAAGGUAACAAUUCUUACAACAAUAAUAAUAAUUUUCCACCUUUGAGAGAGUUAGUGUCUAAUCAAGGAAAGCUAAUGGAUAACCUAUCUAAGAAAUUGGCAUCUAAUGAUAAAAUGCUAGAAAAUAUAAAUAAUAGAAUGGAUAAUUUUUCUACUGCCAUCAAGAAUCAAAUUAGCUUUGAUAAAAUGAUUGAAUCUCAGUUAAAUCAGAUAGCUGCUGCUGUUCCUACUACUAACCCCGGUAUACCAUCACAAUCGGAAGGAUUAGAAUCUGCAAAUCUUGUAGACGUGUUUGAUGCAGGUAAUUGGAGUAACCCCGUCAAUGAAUUUUCUACUGACCGUCUGCCGGUCAAGAGAGGCGAUCCAGGACGCCCCGUCAUCCCGAUCUCCAUCGGCAUGGUGGACUUCCCAGAAGCACUCUGCGACUUUGGCUCCAGUGUCAACAUUAUACCCAGGGUACUCUAUGAGAAAUUCUUUACAUAUCCUUUAUUAGAGACAACCAUGUGUUUGCAGUUUGCAGAUCAGACGAUAACUUUUCCAAAAGGAAUAGUGAGGAACCUUUGUGUCCGAGUUGGUACCUUGUAUGCACCAGCAGACUUCGUAGUGGUAGAGACCGGAAAUGAUGAGAGAGCACCUAUCAUCCUAGGGAGGCCAUUUUUGAACACCACGGGAGCUAUCAUCUACGCCAGUGCUGCUAAGAUCAGUUUCUACGUCAAAGGGAAGAAGGAAACAUUUUUCUUCAAAAACAAGACUACACAAAUUCCAAAUCAAUCCAGACGUCAAUCAAGGAAGAGGACCAACAGGAGGAACAGGAACAAGCAAGUGUGGACCGAGUCAGCUCAGAUGGUCACUGUAGUCCAUGGAGGCCAAGAUCACCAACUUAAGUCACCGUGCUUGACCAAGAAGGACGACCCAGGAAUGCCAAGCAUUUACUGCUCCAUAAAUGGAUACAACUUCUACAAGACAAUUUGUGACACCGGAUCGGGCGUCAACAUAAUGGUCGCAGUCACCUAUCGGCUCUUGUUCGGGACCAUGCCACUAAGACCAACAUACAUUCAGCUCCAGAUGGCAGAUCAGACAUUUCGAGAAGUUCAAGGAAUAGUAUUUGAUGUCCCAGUCAAAAUAGACGAUCAUUUUGUCUACACAGACUUUCAAGUUGUUGACAUGGGAGAAGACGAGUAUGAUCCACCCAACAUCCUUGGAAGACCGUUCCUCAGCACCGUUAAAGUCAUUAUCUACAUUGGAACCGGAGAAGUCCAUAUGCACUUCCCCUCAGAGAAGGUACGCUGUUAUUUUACUGACCCUAACUAUAUCAUUGAAGAAUCUAAGCAGGUAAGAAAACGACGCAACCGCAACCAGAGGAGGCAGAUCAUUAAGGACGGAUGGGCAGACUAUGAAGGAGAAGUUGUAAGGUCAGAAGACGUAGAGUUUAAACAGAAUUAUCCAGAGGAGAUUGAAGCACCGAGUCAGGUGUGGAAAAUGAAAAUAACUAUACAAGAAGAGGAGGCGCUGCCGGAAGUACCGACUACGCUACCCAACGAACCUCAGGACGAUUAAGAAAUUGGAGAGUCCCGUUCGGAGGACUUAAAAACACCGAACGCCUUGCCAAGAGGUAAACUUGGUAGUUACCCUUUCCCUUUCAGUUAUUUUAAAUAGUUUACUUAGUUAAACAUGCUCAUACUGUCUUAAAAAGAAAAUAAAAAUGUGAAAAAUAGUAAGCCCCAUGUGAAUAGACGAGUGGCAUAAAACCCAUACGUACAUUCAAUGUGGUGGCAUAAAAAUAAAAUAAAUAUUUUUCUGCUUUAUAAAAUAAAAAUAUAAAAACAGGGAGUAAAAAUUAUUAAGGAGUCUCAAGAUGAUAAAGGCUAGAUAUUUAUGCUAACACUUAAUCAGUUCCACAAGCUUUGUUGUCUAUUUGAGCUCCACAGAAUUUAAGAAUCAAGAAGACUAGCAGACGGAGGACAUUCUAAUCGCUGUCAGAAUGCUGCUUUCAAAUACACCUCUGCCACCUGCUAGCUACAUCAAGAGAAAUUACGUCAAAAUUCAGCUUGGGGGAGAGCACCCCCAUUUAUCUCGAUAAGUAUUUCUAUCUAUCUAUCUUUAUAUUUAUAUUAUUUUAGAAUAUUAAUACACAUAAACUAUGGAAAACCAAAUAAAGAUUUUAUGCUUAUAUAUAUUACUCAGUGUGUUUAAUUAAUAAAUAAAGUGGCUAUGCUAAUCUGUAUCUAAUAAAACUUAAGCAUGGAUAUGAUGAAUAGUUGCUCUGCCUAAUUUGCACAUUUUAAGUUCUCUCUCAAGUUUAGACAUAACUGUUAUAAUUUAAAGCUUGCCCUAGACCUAAACUUGUGGGAUGAAAACUUGAUCUGAAGUCUAAGUUGUUAACGGAUACGAUAUAGGAAGGUUGAGCUGCUGUUUAUCUGUUCCUAGAGAUGCUAGAAUUCUGGAGAAUUUAUCUUUGAAAAUCAUUAAAAUGUUGCAUGAUGAGUUCCUGUAUGAUGAGAGCUUAAAUUCCUACCACAGCCAUAUAUACAUGCUUGCUAGACUUUGAGCCACACAUUUACUAUUUACUGCUUAUGAGCAUUGAGUAUGGUCAAGCUGUGUAGACCCUUAGGAGCUUGUCAUGUGGUUAAAUCAAGAUUUCACUUGCACGUUCACUCAUAUAUGCUACUUCUACUCCGGAAGUACCAUCCACAUACAUCCACUCAUUUCCAUCUCCAGAACCACCUAAAAAUAUUCUACUCCUAAUCCGGGAGAGAAUAACCAAAAAUAUUUCUGUUUUCCCCUUGUGAAAUAAAUGCUCAAGUUAUCUUGUUACUACCACUUGCUAUAUUAUCUCAAGAGAUGAAUGCUCUAAAAAAAGAGAGAGAGAGAAGAAUAAUACGAGGAAAUAAAAAGGAGCAAGUGCUCGGAACCUCGAAAGAAAAGAAAAAGUGAGACGAGAGGUAAAAAUGGACAAGUGUCCGACAGUAGAAUUAGGGGUGCAAGAUACCCACCUGAGAGAAAAGAAAAAGAAGAGCAUCUCAUUCUCCUCAUAAAGUUUCAAAAGCAAGGAAGGUAUGUAUCCCCUCAGAAGAGCAAAGUAGAAUUAGACUUUCACCACCAUUGUUUUCACCAUUGUUAUCACCAUCAUCACCAUAUACCAUUCAUUCGCCACACAUGCACAUCUUGAUUAAACUUAUUGACUUGUUACUUUGGAUCCAUGGUUUGACUAUGCAAUACAUGUCUUGUAAGUAUGUAUAUUUUAUCUCCCACCUAUGAGCUCCAGAUAUUAAAGCCUUAUUGGAGUAGGAUGAGAGAGAAGGCAAUGUUACUAUGCCUCAUACCACAAAUACCACAUAUCUUGAGAGAAGGCAUAUACCAUCAAUGCCUUGGUAAGAUCCAAAAAUACCACAAAAGAGAGACCUGAGAGAAUCAUACAAGGAAUUCUGAGUUUUAUUUGAAAAUCUGCAAAAAUCCCAGAGCUAUAGCUGAUCAAGAAUAAGAGACAUGGCACUUGGCUAGACUGUUCUAUCUUUUAACCACUCAAGACAGAAGUGACAGUUACAAGUCCCAUGGUGAAGGUAAAGUAAUUAAGUUUUAAGUCUUGACAGUUUACUCUAACUCAGAGAUAAGAUCUUAUUUAAGAGCAUGUGUACCGUCAAAUUUUUAAAGAUAUUGCAGCAACUUCUGAUCCAUAGCUGAGUCUAUCCUUGCUCAGGGACGAGCAAGAGGUAAGCUUGGGGGAGUUUGUUGACGGUCCUUAAGUAUCAAAUUUAAUUAUCAAAUAAAUAAAGAAAAGGAUCCAAAUGAAAUAAAGAUCUAGACUUAGGGUUUUAUCUGACAGAAUUCCACGAGUUUUGGUGUUUGUCUAUUUCUGCAGGGGGUUAUCUGGAAAUAUGGAAGAAAGGCCCACAUGUCAGGAUUACGUAAAGAUAUUAACGUGCUGCGCAAUUAUCUUACAUCUAGAAGACUCCAGAAGCCACGAGACCGAAGCGGAGGCGAAUCGGGGCCAGAGACAGGGCGCCCGCCCUGUCCAACUGGGCGCCCGCCCUGCCCCUAAGUCCAAUCAGGACUCUGCUUUGCGGAAAGUCUCCACCGACCUAAAGGAUGAAUCUAAACCAUACAAUCUAUGUCGGUUUGAUCCAAGGGCCCAUAUUCACUUGAAGGGACUAUAAAACGAGACCCCCUGGCCCCUGGAGGAGAGAGCCUCUCAACCCUAAUUCAUUGUUCCAUCAAGGGAGAAGAAGCCUCUGAUCAAGAUUAGAGCCACCACAUCAAUUAGAUAUCUAGAUUAGCAUAGCUACAUAGGAUUAGAACUAGAAGGAGUCAAUCUUCGAUUGGUUUCCGGAUCUGUCAGGAGGAUUCUUGGUAAUUCUCUAAUUGUGCUUCUAAUUGCUUUCUAAUUAUCUUUGUUCUUCAAUAUUAUGAAUAUGACUUUGUUCUACUUCAAUAUAUUGCUUAUGACUUUGCUCUAUUUGCUUAUAUUCAAGAUUAUAUUGUUCUUAGUUUAUCAUAGUUAUGUACUUGGCUUAGUUAGAUACGAUCUAUAUAUGCUUAGGAUCGUAUAGCGUUUAUCCAUCGGAUCCAUGGGUAAAUGAUAGAUAUUGUGUAGGCGUGGUGCUUAUACCGUAUUUAUCUGCGAUUGUACCCAAUAUGCCAGAUCGUGGGGUAGUUCGUGAUAGUGACAGCUUCAUUGAUUCUUAUAUAGUCCCCCUCUCGUGUAUUGGGCUGGCAGAGCAACAUUAUUACAGGGGAGUGAUUGCUAUGUUUCUCAUAUUCCUUGCUAAUAUCACUAUGCAUGGGCGUAGUCUUGUCUCGCAAUGAUUGCUAAGUAUGCUUGCACUAACUAUGAUAUGCUAGACUAUAUAGUUAAGAAUAACUUAGGGAAUAUUCAUGUAGUUCGUUCUAAUACCAUGCUAAUGACAUUCUAGAGUAUCUAAUUGAGGUGCUUAUCAUAUUUAUUAUGUGGCUAGAUCAGAUUAGUUAUCCUUGUCACUAUUAUCAUUUCAUAUAUCUAUUAUGUGACACUUAUCCCUGUAUGAAGAGUUAGAUAUAAUGUUCUCAAUUAUACAUGCAAUGAUAGAUGCUCAAUCUCAUAUUCUAUUCUGUAAUCAAUAGUGAUGAUUGAUUAAUCCCUUCCCAGUGGUAAAAAUAUAAAUAACGAUACCUGGAAUACUUCCCGGUUAAAAUGCUACAUCGGUAUUAAUCUGUGCGCUUGCAGAUCCCAUUCAUUAUUUAUUUAGAAGAGCAAUUGCAUAUUUCAAUACCGCGUCUCUCAUGUCAUGCUGGGGAUGACAACUUGGCUUAAGUGGUGUGAGGGAUAGGUUUGGCAUUUUUGGCACCGUUGCUAGAUUUAGAACUUAGUCUACUUUUGGUAAUGAUGUUAAGAAUACCCAACAGUCUUCUUGAUCCUUGAAUUCUGUGGAGCUCAAAUAGACAACAAAGCUUUGUGGAACUGAUUAGGUGUUAGCAUAAAUAUCUAGCCUUUAUCAUGUUGAGCCUCCUCAAUAAAUGUUACUCUCUAUGGUAGGAUCACAAUUCUAUUUUUAUAUUUUCACUUUUAUAAAGUAGAAAAAUUAUUUAUUUUAUUUUUAUGCCACCACAGUGAAUGUACUUAUGGAUUUUAUGCCACUCGUAUACUCACAUGGGGCUUACUAUUUUUUUAACAUUUUUAUUUUCUCUUUUUUUAGGAUAGUAUGAACCAGAUUAACAAAGUAAACUAUUUUAAAUAAUUGGAAGGAAAAGAUAUCUACCAUGUUUACCUCUUGGCAAGGCGUUGGGUGUUUUUAAGUCCUCUGAACGGGACUCUCUGUUUUCUGAGUUGUCCUGGGGUUCGCUGGAUGGCGUAGUCGGUGGUUCCGGCAGCGCCUCCUCUUCGUGUAUAUCUAUCUUCUCUCUCCAAACCUGACUCGGUGCUACGGUCUCCUCAGGAUAGUUCUGUUCAAGCUGUAUGUCUUCAGACCUUACCACUUCUCCUUCGUAGUCUGCCCAUCCAUCCUUGAUGGUUUGCCUCUUCUGGUUGCGGUUGCGUCGUCUUCUUCUUGUCCUGAUCUGCUUAGAGUCUUCAACUAUAUAGUUAGGGUCAGUAAAAUAGCGGCGUACCUUCUCUAAGGGGAGGUGCAUGUGAACUUCUCCAGUUCCAAUGUAAAUGAUUGCUUUAACAGUGCUGAGGAACGGUCUCCCAAGGAUGAUCGGUGGAUCGUACUCGUCUUCUCCCAUGUCGAUAACCUGAAAGUCUGUAUGGACAAAAUGAUCGUCUAUUUUGACAGGGACAUCAGUUACUAUACCUUCAACCUUUUAGAAUGUCUGAUCUGCCAUCUGGAGCUGAAUGUAUGUCGGUUUUAGGGGCAUGGUUCCGAACAAGAGCCGAUAGGUGACUGCGGCCAUUAUGUUGACGCCUGAUCCGGUGUCGCAAAGUGUCUUGUAGAAGUUGUACCCAUUGAUGGAGCAAUGGAUGCUUGACAUACCUGGGUCGUCCUUCUUGGUCAGAAACGGUGACUUAAGUCGAUGAUCUUGACCUCCUUGAAUUGUAGUGACCAUCUUAACUGACUCGGUCCACACUUGCUUGUUCCUGUUCCUUCUGUUGGUCCUCUUCCUUGGUUCAUGUUGGGAUUGCUCUAGGAUUUGUGUAGUAUUGUUCUUAAAGGAAAAUGUUUCCUUCCUCCCUUUGAUGUAGAAAUUGAUCUUGGCAGCACUAGCGUAGACGACAACUCCUGAGGUGUUUAGGAAUGGCCUCCGUAAGAUGACGGGUGCCCUCUCAUCAUUUCCGGUCUUUAUCACCACGAAGUCUGCUGGGGCGUAUAAGGUACCAACUCAGACGUAGAGGUUCUUCAAUAUUCCCUUUGGGAAACUUAACGCCUGAUCUACAAACUGCAAACACAUGGUUGUUUCCAAUAAAGGAUAUGUAAAGAAUUUUUCAUAGAGUACCCUAGGCAUAAUGUUGACACUAGAGCCAAAGUCGCAGAGUGCUUCUGGGAAGUCCACCAUGCCG
rnacentral:lncRNA from 1 species